GUGAUUGUCUUGGCUAAGAUCAAGUGUAGUAUCUGUUCUUAUCAGUUUAAUAUCUGAUACGUCCUCUAUCUGAGGACAAUGUAUUAAGUGGAUUUUUGGAGCCAGGAGGUGGAACAGGAGCUUGCUCCAUUCACUCCAUGCAAAAAAAAAAAAGAAAUACGAUUGUCUUUUGCACAUUUA
rnacentral:snRNA from 1 species